CGCUCCGUGUGACAGCGGAGCGGCGAGUCCAACUUGAGCGCUUUUAUUUUUUAUUUUUGCAUCAAGGAGUAGAACGCGGAGGAUUUCUUUUUCUUUUUUCUUACUUUUUCCCCCCCAGCGUGAGCAGCAAGAGCUGACGUUGUUACAGCCUGGGAGUUGACAUGGCUGCCAAAAUGGCGGCCGGAUGGGGCAGCAGGAGCAGCGACUGGAGCAUAAGCCGAAGGGACGUCACAGCAGCAGCAGAGAGGGCGGAGGAGGAGAGGCUGGUGCGCACAAAAGCACAGCGCAGACGUCAGAAGAAAGGAGGGAAGAAAGACGGGCAGCAGACAAGUCAGUCGCGCACAGUCUCGAUGCCAUUGCCUUGUUGAACACAAGACGCCCGUCUAUCUGUCUCAUAUCUGGGCGGAUGGGUCGCAAGAGUUAGGAAACUGACGAGUCUCUCUCUCUCUCUCUCCUCCCUAUAUCCCUCGUUUCUUCCAGCCGCCGAGUGCAGCAGGAGCAGCAGAGCGCCCUGGCCGUCUCUCGUCUCCUUUGUUGUUGAUCCAAAGGAGGGCGCAACACGCGCCAUCACGGCCGUGUGUCCAACAGUCACACUAGAGCUCCGUCCUGCCCAGACCAGAGAGAGAGAGAGAGCUCUGCUGUGCUGCAGUCCGUGCCCGCCAGUGUGUGUCUACCACGCCUCGCCCGGCCGUCUCUCUUGUCUCUCUCUCUCUUUUUCUCUUUUAGACCUCCGCACAACGAUUGUUGACUGCCGGUUGCCAAGGCUUCUCUCCCUCUCUCUCUGGCCCGUCUUCUUCUUCUUUUCGGGGUCACACACGAAAAACGGACUGUCAGGCAAUUCGCCACCCUUUGAGAAAAUAAUUUCAACAAACCGAUUCGCUCCUUGUUUCGGCUGGGCGAGAAUCUGUGACCGAAUCGAACGUUUCUCAAAGCAUCCGCUCGCCACAGCAAGUCGGUCUCUGUCGUCUCUCUCUCUCUGUGUGUGUGUGUGUGUGUGUGUACGUUUCGGCACUGAUUAUUGAUCCGAACGGGGGUAGUAGUGUGGUAGCAUUUGAUAGAAGUGAGUGUGUGUGUGUGUUGGUGUGUGUUGGUGUGUUCAACUGUUACAAGUAAAGAGAGCGGAGGGUCUCAACUGUGGACGAGAUGACGUGUUAGAAGAUGUCUUGGCCGCAGUCGUCGUCGUCGCAGACAGCUGAAACACUGACGACUUUGACUAAAAUUAGCUCACCGCAGCAGCAGCAGCAGCAGCAGCAGCAGACCAACGGAGACGACGACAAUCACAACUGGAAGACUACAACUGGUAGAGUGGCCGAGCAUUCGGACCACGUCUUGGGCCACCCCACUGACUAAUAGACUGGCAGCAGCCGCCCGUGCGUGUAUUCUUCAACAAUCGCUAGAGACUGCAACAACAACAAGACGAGCCAGAUAUACAUCACCUUGGUCCGCCUUCAUUAAUAUAUACGGCGGGGAUCGAUCCUCGGAUGUGCUGGAUCGUGGCUUUUCCCUCCUCUUUUAUUCAGACAAACAUUGGCAGUGAGCAGCGCAGCAGUCAAAACAUCAAAACAAAAGUACUCUCAAGUCUUUCCUACCAUUAGCGGCGACAGUCCCUCCUCAAUCAUUAAAUAACGUGUCUGGCCGGCCCAACAACCUUCCACAUCCAGGCCAAGACGUACGUACGUUGUUCUCUUGUUCUUGUACGCUGGAAAUCGACGAGCUCGUAACAUGUGAUAUACUGCCCAGCCAAUUCCGGUCCGUCUCUCUCUCUCUUUCUCUCUUCCAGCAGUCGACACUCCCAACGCUUGAUAGCCCAUCCAUAUACACACAUAGGUCUAUCCUGACAGCAGCAGUUCUCUGUGACAUUCAAUCCGCCGACCAGAGCUCUGUAUAGAUUCGCAUUCCGGUGACUGGAAGAAUUCGACACCCAACUGAAUGGUUGAUUGCCUUUUCAGACCUAAGACAAAGGUUGUGAAAGGUUGCAAAGACUUGACAAACUCGAGAGAUGGUCAGUAUGAGUGGUGAUAGACAGCGCAGCGCUUCAACCAGCGUCGUCCAGCAAGAAGUCAAUGCCAACAAAGACUCGCCAUCUGCAUCCACGUCGUCGACUACAGCAGCAGCAGCAGCAGCCACCAACAAUUCCAUCAAAGAUAAGAAAAUGGCGAGCAACUCGAGCGCAGCGCCGACGAGUCACGCCAUUUCCAACAGCUCGGCGCCCACCGCCGCCGCCGCCGCCGCCGCCUCCGCCUCCGCCUCCGCCUGUGGCAGCAACGGCAUCGUUCCCGUUUCCGGCCCGGUCAACAGCUCAACAACAGCAGCACGGAGGGCGCCCGCAAAUGCCGCUAAUCCCGCCGAACAGGGACAGCUUCACAAUGAGGAGUCACCCAAUCAUAUCGUCUACAGAAAGAUGGAGCACAUAAUCGAGCGGAUGCAGGAUGACAGUGCUGGCGUAAGCGUCAAGAAUGUCAAGACUUUCAUGAACAAAAUACCUUCCGUCUUCACAGGCACCGACUUAACCAACUGGAUGAUCAAGAAUUUGGACGUGUCGGAUCAAGCAGCCGAAGCACUUCACUUAGCUCACUUGAUGUCUGCUCACGGUUACUUCUUCCCGGUGGAGGAUCACAUCCUAACCGUGAAAAACGACGGGACGCUCUACCGUUUCCAGACGCCGUACUUCUGGCCGAGCAACUGCUGGGAGCCGGAGAACACGGACUACGCCGUCUACCUGUGCAAGCGGACGAUGCAGAACAAGGCGAGACUGGAGCUGGCCGACUACGAGGCGGAGAACCUGGCCCGCCUUCAGAAGAUGUUCUCCAGGAAGUGGGAGUUCAUCUUCAUGCAAGCCGAAGCCCAGUCGCGUGUCGACAAGAAACGCGAUAAGCUCGAGCGCAAAGUCCUCGACAGUCAGGAGCGUGCCUUCUGGGAUGUUCAUCGCCCCGUGCCGGGCUGCGUCAACACGACCGAGAUGGACAUCAAAAAAGCCUGCCGGAUGCAUCGUCCAAUCAAGAGCGCUCGCCAUUUGUCGGUGGCCGUGGCGGGCGGCCGCAUUUCGCCGUCGGUCUCCGAGGUGGACAUCCAGUGCCCGGCCGCCACCAUCCAGAAAGAAAUCGAGUUCCUCCGAAAGAAACUGGCCCGCACCAACAUCAAAGUCUCCAAGGUGGCCGAGUCGUACAUCAGUUUCUACGAGCAGUACGUCGAAUACGAUCCGUUCGUCACCUGCACAGAGCCGCUCAAUCCGUGGAUUAGCGACACGCUCGACUUUUGGGAUCAAGACAAAUCCGGGAAAGAAAUCCAGUUGAAGCGAGUCCGUCGGUGGGCGUUCAGCUUGCAAGAGCUUUUAAAGGAUCCCGUGGGCAAGGAGCAUUUCACCAAGUUCCUGGAAAAGGAAUUUAGCAGCGAGAAUCUCAAGUUCUGGGAAGCGGCCCAGGAUUUAAAGGCUCUGCCCUCGAGUCAAGUCGGAGCGCGGGCGAUGGAAAUCUGGAAUGAAUUUCUCGGACCGGAAGCCAAAUGUCCGGUCAACGUCGACUCCAAAUCUCACGAGGCCACGCGCCUGGCCAUGGACAAACCUGAUCGAUGGACUUUCGAUCGAGCAGCGGCCCAUGUUUACCACUUGAUGCGGAGCGACAGCUACUCACGCUAUCUGCGCUCGGAAAUGUACAAGGAUUUUCUGAGCGGUUCCAAGAAGAAGGUCGUAAGUCACUUUUCUUUUAUCCCCAAAUAAACGAAUCAAUAGCGACACGCACACCGCCGAGAGACGGAGAGACGGAGAGAGACGAGUCAACUCAACUCGCCAACGCUCCUCCUCCGUCUAGACGUUUCCUUUUUUCCUCCUCUCUCGUGUCUCUCUCCCCUCUCUCCUCUCUUCAUCCUCUUUGUAGCCGGGGACAUUCACGCCGGCUGCCGAAAUUUACCCACGUGAGGAAAACGUCCUGAAAUUUACACACACACCUCUCAUCCCGCCACCCUAUCACCCCCCUAAACAAAACAAAAAAAGAACUCUUCAUUUCGCUCUGCGGCGCUCGACCUGCCCCUGCCUGCCUGCCCCCCCCCCCCCCCGCACAUUUGUUUUCAUCUCUCUCGCUCAUCCAGUUCCUCUCAUCUGCCCGACUUGUUCUUCGUUCUCGACGUCUCCUUCUUUCGUCAUUCGACCGUGUCGUCUCUCAUUUAUCCGCCCUUCCGCCCUUGUAUAAUCGCUCGUGCGUUCGCUUCCGUGCAGCAGCAGCAGCAGCAGCAGCAGACUUUGGGUGGUGAAGGCAUUCGCACCAUUGUGCCCUUUACCAGCUGAAGGAGAAUGAACGAGGAUGGUCAGGCAUCCUACUAAUAUCCUGAAAUUCCAUAUCUCUCUCCCCCUUCCCAAUCCUCAUCCACCCCACUACUCUCCACGAUUAACAAACAAACAAACCAAAAAUUCCCCCCGUUUUUUUUUUUUUUUUUAAAUCUCCCGCUCGAUGAAUAUUUGGACGCAGCGAUCCUUCCUCUAUUCUCUUGUGCGAGACGAAAGCUCGUGGACAUUCAUCGACGCUCGCCACGUACUCUACCGCAAGUCUUCUAUAUGAUUUUGUCUUUUUCUCUCUCUGAUUUCAAUCAAACGAUCAUUUUCAAAUUUUCAAUCAACCCGUCGUUCUCUAACCCAUUUCUUCCUGCUUUGCUGCCAGCCAUCUUGAAUCCGUUGAUUGAGUUGUCUCUGGCUCAAUCUGAAGCCUGCAUGCCACCUUCAAAGAAAAACCGUCAGAUGUGAAAGACUGGCCGGAGUUUUAUCGUCCCACGUCUCUCCAACUUUAACAUCACGUCAAACUGACCGAUGAUUUUGCUAUUGUACUAAAUCUAAUCACAAUAACGAGCAAAGCAUUAAAACAAAAUCUUGGGGGUGAGGAGUCACGAAGAAAUCAAUCGACGUGUACAACGUGUGUAUAUGAUAAUGUUGGUUCAAAAGAAAAGCAUGCGAAUAAGAUUUUAUCACAGGGAUAAUAAGCCACAACAAUAAUCGUGUAGCGAACCUGCGUCACUCUGUCAUCACAACUACCAAUUAAGUAAUUAAACAAUUUUUUCCAACAUUCAUUUAUACUAUCUAAUAAAGCAAUGCUCGACAUCAUCUCUUCUAGCCGUCUCUCUUUCUCUUUGAUAAUGAUACAUAUUUACUCUGUACGUUAUUUCGCCAAAUUUGUUUUCAUCCAGUCCCAGUCCCCGCCUCCCCCUCCUCCCUUUUUGUGCGUAUAUUAUCCAGCCAAUUCUAUCUGGUGCAUAAUUUCUUCCCUUGUGUUAUUUGCCAAUGAUCCCAUUGUUCCAAGUGCGCAUCUCCAAGGAGAAGGAGGGGACCUUCAAGAUAGACAAUGUUGACCUGGAUAUGAUUUUGUGACGUUUACAUUUUUAAAAUAGGCAAAUUUCAAAACACCAUCUCCACCAGGCCGGCGGCAGCAACAGCUGACGUUAUAAAAAUUCGUAGCUUUAAGUGUCAUAACUAGACAAAAUAAGGACAUUGAAAAGCAAUAUGUGGUCUCAUAAUUUCCUCCAUAUUUCUGUUCUAUAAUAAUGCAAAACAGUGUGUUUUUUUCCCCUCUCUCUCCAGUGAAUAGAUCCCUUUACCAGCGAACUUCUGUACAGCACCUCUCUCUCUCAAUUCGGGACGACAUGAUAUAAACCUAGAAUGUGAAAGCAAAGCUAAUCGAAUAAUUUUAAAAAUAAAAAUAAAAAAAAACGACGAUGCGGACUGUGUAUUGAUAUCAUGGCAGGGAACUAAUUUGAAUGUGAUGUGUGAUCGGGAUGAUUUGUCCUUUUCUGUUAUUGUUAUCACGGAGCAGAGGGUAACAAAUGUGUGUAUUCUUAUGUGUGUAUUCUUACGCGGCCGGCAGGCCGCCCACGUUUAAGGAAGCCUAGUCCAAAGUACGUGUAAGCUUAGGCCAACGUACGUGUGUAUUAUGGUGUACUCCUCGGCCUAGGCUUCCUUUAAACGUGGGCAGCCUGCCGGCCGCGGAAGAGCGGCCAACCGCUAUGAAAGAGCGGCCGCUACUAUGAAUCACGUACGUUAAUGUAGUUCCACAUAUGCAGUUUUUCUCAUCUAGUUCCAUUUCGUUUUCAAACAUGCCGUUCAUGUACAAAAAAAUUGGUAGGCCAAUACAUCUUAUAUCCAGCCCAA